rnacentral:rRNA from 1 species
GACGAACGCUGGCGGCGUGCCUAACACAUGCAAGUCGAGCGAGUGGAGUUCUUCGGAACAAAGCUAGCGGCGGACGGGUGAGUAACACGUGGGCAACCUGCCUCAUAGAGGGGAAUAGCCUCCCGAAAGGGAGAUUAAUACCGCAUAAGAUUGUAGCUUCGCAUGAAGUAGCAAUUAAAGGAGCAAUCCGCUAUGAGAUGGGCCCGCGGCGCAUUAGCUAGUUGGUGAGGUAACGGCUCACCAAGGCGACGAUGCGUAGCCGACCUGAGAGGGUGAUCGGCCACAUUGGGACUGAGACACGGCCCAGACUCCUACGGGAGGCAG